rnacentral:rRNA from 1 species
UACGUAGGUGGCAAGCGUUAUCCGGAAUUAUUGGGCGUAAAGCGCGCGCAGGCGGUUUCUUAAGUCUGAUGUGAAAGCCUACGGCUCAACCGUGGAGGGUCAUUGGAAACUGGGGAACUUGAGUGCAGAAGAGAAAAGCGGAAUUCCACGUGUAGCGGUGAAAUGCGUAGAGAUGUGGAGGAACACCAGUGGCGAAGGCGGCUUUUUGGUCUGUAACUGACGCUGAGGCGCGAAAAGCGUGGGGAGCAAACAGGG